rnacentral:rRNA from 1 species
UACAGAGGUCCCAAGCGUUGUUCGGAUUUACUGGGCGUAAAGGGUGCGUAGGUGGUCGGGUAAGUCUCAUGUGAAAUCUCCAAGCUUAACUUGGAAAUGGCAUGGGAUACUAUUCGGCUAGAGGAUUGGAGGGGGGACUGGAAUUCCCGGUGUAGCAGUGAAAUGCGUAGAUAUCGGGAGGAAUACCGGUGGCGAAGGCGGCAUCCUGGACCGACAUUGACGCUGAACGGCGAAAGCUAGGGGAGCAAACGGG